rnacentral:sRNA from 1 species
GGAACAACGAACUCACGAAAAUUCACAAA